rnacentral:rRNA from 1 species
UACGAAGGGGGCUAGCGUUGCUCGGAAUUACUGGGCGUAAAGCGCACGUAGGCGGCUUUCUAAGUCGGGGGGUGAAAUCCUGGAGCUCAACUCCAGAACUGCCUUCGAUACUGGAGCUUGAGUCCGGGAGAGGUGAGUGGAACUGCGAGUGUAGAGGUGAAAUUCGUAGAUAUUCGCAAGAACACCAGUGGCGAGGGGCGGCUCACUGGCCCCGGUACUGACGCUGAGGUGCGAAAAGCGUGGGGGAGCAAACAGGGAUUAGAAAACCCC